CUGAAAUAAGGAAAACCACAGAAGAAUGGGGAGUGAAGACUGAGAAAGGCAAUGUUAUAUCACUUUCUUCAUACAAGAGAGGAAAUUUACAACUGAUGUUGGUUAAACGAGUGGAUAAAGGAAAAGAUGACACACCAGUUUCCCACUUGGAGCCACAUUUGGACAGAUCAUCCAAGGCAGAACAGAAGAGUUUUCAUGAUAUUGAUGAUACUGCACAUCGCCAGCAAAAGGUAGCACAUGUGUCAAUUUAAAUUCCUGGUCAUUUCUUUUUUUUUUUGCUUCCAGACAUUAAACUAGGCCAAUUGAAAUAACCUACUCUUUGGGAUUCCAAACAUAGUAAUUAAAUAUUUAAGUACAGAGAAGUUAACUGGUCAGCUACAACUAAAAAAAAAAAAAAAAAAAUUAAAGAAA